rnacentral:lncRNA from 1 species
UUUUAUUACUAACUUUAAUUAGUUAAUUAAUUCGUGCGAUGCGACGAAUAAGUAAUUAAAAAAAAUUGAAAAAGGCGAAAAAAAAGAAAAAAUAAUGAUGGAAGAAACAACGAUAAGAGAUAAGAUUUAUCUUACCAAUAAAAAAAAUAACAACAGAAAUAAAUGAAAGAGGAAUAAUUUACCCAAUGCAAAAGAAUAAUUCGGUUUAAUCUAAGUA